rnacentral:rRNA from 1 species
ACUCAAAUGAAUAGACGGGGGCCCGCACAAGCGGUGGAGCAUGUGGUUUAAUUCGAUGCAACGCGAAGAACCUUACCAGGUCUUGACAUCCAGGGAAGCCUUAGGAAACUAGGGUGUGCCUUCGGGAACCCUGAGACAGGUGGUGCAUGGUUGUCGUCAGCUCGUGUCGUGAGAUGUUGGGUUAAGUCCCGCAACGAGCGCAACCCUUGCUAUUAGUUGCUAACAGGUUAAGCUGAGCACUCUAAUGGGACUGCCUGUGACAAGCAGGAGGAAGGUGGGGAUGACGUCAAAUCAUCAUGCCCUUUAUGAUCUGGGCUACACACGUGCUACAAUGGAUGGUACAGAGAGCAGCGAGACUGUGAAGUGGAGCGAAUCUCAAAAAGCCAUUCUCAGUUCGGAUUGUAGUCUGCAACUCGACUACAUGAAGUCGGAAUCGCUAGUAAUCGCGAAUCAGCAUGUCGCGGUGAAUGCGUUCCCGGGCCUUGCACACACCGCCCGU